GACAGAUCCUUCGUCCUGGCACAUCUUUACCUUUUGCAGGGAGGAAAAGACCUCGACAGAUAAUUCAGCUCCUGGUAAAAACCUCCUGAACGUUUGGAUAUUAAGUUAUCUGAGAAAAAAGGGACAGGAGCUGUGCUGUAUGUUUCACCUUCACUACUAGCCACAUUCAUGCGC